CAUUACUGGUAUUAUUCCCGUGUGCGAAGAAUAAAAUCGAUAGGAGAGACCAUUGAACAAACAGCUGACAGUGUAAUAGCUGUGUCAUAGUCUGAUAUAGUGAAUAGCUGUCCACAAGAAGCUUGUUUGAGCAGAGCGUGUUAUCUAGGCCACAUUGCGGUGCGUUGUAUCACCAUAACCGACUCGAGAAGCAUACCUUGUGAAACCUUCAAUCACAAUGACAGGUAUAUUCUUUAAGAACCUCCUUACUGGCCUCAAGUGCACAGAUGAACAACUCGAAAAUGUGCCCUACCCGCGAUUCGAACUGCAUACCCACAUUAUGUACAAGACAAUUCAAGCUGGGAGCAUCCUUGGGAUGUGUUUAUUCGGUCCAGCAGUAGGUUUCGCCCGCGGGCGGUCUCUGGAUGCAGCCAGGGAUGGAGCCAUUUCGGGAGCUGUUAUUGGUGCAGGAGUGGGCGUCGUCGCCGGACCACUUAUGACGGAAUUGCGGCUAAGCGCCAACGACAUCACACCCUACACAAUAUGGGACAGGAGCUAUAGGAUUAGGUACAACACCGGCCAGUGUCGCACCGACAGGUUUGCAACGUGGGGGGCGCUGAUCGGCCUUGGAGCUGCUUAUUAUUUUGGCACUCCUCUACUGAAUGGUACCAUCCUUGGCUUCAAUGCGGGGACUCUUAGUGCUGGAGUAUACAACAUUGUGCUCGUCCAUGGGGAACAAAGGCUGGCACCUAAGAGAAUUAUCAAGAAGAACUAAGUUAGGGACAAGAAUAGAAAGGGCUUUACCGACAAUUAUAACCUGUACGUGAACUCUUACGUGAUGUUCAGAUGAGAAGUAAUGGAGGGCCGUAAUGGAGUAUGAGUGAUCGUUUUGCCAGGCGCGAAUGCAUCUCGUACAAUAUAACAUGGUCCGUCACACCGUAUUAAGGAUCAUUCAACUCCAAGCCGUAUCACUGCAAUUUACGUACAUGUAGUCGCAACUCAGUUUUCAUGCCCACCCGCAAAGAAAAAUAGCAGCGUGUGCACCUGACAACCAGUUCGACAUUUACUGUACGUAUGACUCAUGUGACUUUGAUGAAUUUGAUGGGCCGAAAAAAGAAAAAAAAGUUGCAUCCGAAAUACUAAACCUGAGCCUGAUUAAUUCAAACAUCGUUAUUCCUCAGCGAUAAGAGAGGGAGCGUAACAGUUACAGUGACCAUGGUACGGUUGUCGUUCAAAACAAGUUUUAUCACAAA